rnacentral:rRNA from 1 species
UCUUGGAGAAAUAACUGAUUCUAGAACAAGAACAGGAAAGUACUCUAAGCAGGGUCAGGCCUGGUUAGUACUUGGAUGGGAGACCACCUAGGAAGACCAGGUGCUGUAGGCG